rnacentral:rRNA from 1 species
AUGACCGGAGCGCGACGCCGCGGCGUGCGGAUCCGCCGGCUUGUGCCGGUGGCGCGGGUUGCGGAGCCGCGGGCGCUUCCACCGCCGGCUGCAGCGCCGUUGCCCGAGAUCGAUCCGCACUCGCCGGAGGCUCGCCGCGAGAUGAGGCGGGUGGUGAUGGAGCGCUUCCCCGACCGCGACGAGUGGGGGGAGAUCCACAUGCACAUCCUUCGCCAUGCGAACUUCGUCGAGCGCGCGCGCUUCAUUGGAGACGAUGGCUGCGAGGAUGUGGAGCUCCUCUUCAGGGCGAUUCAGGAGGCGGAAUUGUCAGAUCCAUGAUCGUCGUGCUGGGGGAAGCAACCACCCUGCUGCUCCAGCCAAGGGGGUGGGGCAGAAACCUGCUGCGCCUGCUGGGCGGAAGCCAACUGCGCCAGCAACAAAGGAGCAGGCUCCUGCCCCCAAGCCUACCAGAUCUACAGCUUCCACUGCUGGAUCUGCGCAGAUGUGGAUUGGAAUGGGAUGUUCAGAACCUUUUUUGAGAAUGUCAGAGUCAAGAUUGCUUGUAGAGACCCUACCAAAAUUCCUUUUGAAAGGUUGAUUGAGAUGAAGAAAUUGUUUCUACUUGGCUUCACUGUGGAAGGUUUUGAACAAACUGGUGGGGCUGAUUCUGUCAUUGAUGUUGAUGGUGAUGAGGAAGAUUUUGAGGAUGAUGAAAAGGCUGAGGAGAACCAGACAGAAGGACAGGAAGGAACCCAAGGUGACCAUGUUUCUGAUGGUUCAGGAGCUGGUGACACAGCCAUUGAUGAACUGGACAAGGCCAAUUUCUCAUCCAAACAGAACUCUGCAAGAAAAUUUGAUGAUCAGAGAAGGGUGGAUGCACCCAUGAAUGAGAACAUAGACACUGACCAAGAGAACUUUAUUCUGGAAUAUGCUUUGACAAAGGGUAACUCUAAGGGUUCAUCUUCUGAUGGACAUGGACAUGCUUCUGGAUAUAUGUGUGAGUUGACAGAUCAAGACACAUGUUGUGAAGAAAAAGAAGGGGAUACCUACAAAACUCCUGCUCCAAGUGAAAGAAAAUCUAACAUAACUUCUGGGAAGAAAACUGAGAACAUGGAGUAUUGUGAGGAUCUGUUAAGAUCAGUGGACAUGUGUGACUCUGAGGAUGAGGGAAUAGAGGAUGAGUUGGGGGUUCUCCCUCAUGAGGCUGUUCAAAUUCUCCAGAGUGAAACUUGGAAGAGAUCCUUGCUGGAAUCACUCUCUCAAGCUAAAAAUGGGGAGGCUAUUCAGGAUAACAAGUCAAGGACCACCACCAUUGCCGUCUUUGUUGUAGUUGGGGUUGUUGUAGCCGCCACCGCCAUUGUUGCCUCCACCACCACCGCGAUACCCGCCACCACCACCAUUAGUGGGUUUGGGCGAGCCACGGUAGUUGUUUUUGCCGUCGCCGCCGCGAUUCCUUGCAGCCAUGUUGGCCGAGGAUUUGAAGCCGCCCGCACCUGA